GACGAACGCUGGCGGCGUGCUUAACACAUGCAAGUCGAACGGAAAGGCCCUGCUUUUGUGGGGUGCUCGAGUGGCGAACGGGUGAGUAACACGUGAGUAACCUGCCCUUGACUUUGGGAUAACUUCAGGAAACUGGGGCUAAUACCGGAUAGGAGCUCCUGCUGCAUGGUGGGGGUUGGAAAGUUUCGGCGGUUGGGGAUGGACUCGCGGCUUAUCAGCUUGUUGGUGGGGUAGUGGCUUACCAAGGCUUUGACGGGUAGCCGGCCUGAGAGGGUGACCGGCCACAUUGGGACUGGGAUACGGCCCAGACUCCUACGGGAGGCAGCAGUGGGGAAGAUUGCACAAUGGGCGGAAGCCUGAUGCAGCGACGCCGCGUGCGGGAUGACGGCCUUCGGGUUGUAAACCGCUUUCGCCUGUGACGAAGCGUGAGUGACGGUAAUGGGUAAAGAAGCACCGGCUAACUACGUG
rnacentral:rRNA from 1 species